ACGAACGCUGGCGGCGUGCUUAACACAUGCAAGUCGAACGGUGAAGCGCCUUCCUUUUUGGUGGGUGUGGAUGAGUGGCGAACGGGUGAGUAACACGUGAGUAACCUGCCCCCUUCUUCUGGAUAACCGCAUGAAAGUGUGGCUAAUACGGGAUAUUCUGGGUCUGUCGCAUGAUGGGUCUGGGAAAGAUAUUGUUUCGGUGGGGGAUGGGCUCGCGGCCUAUCAGCUUGUUGGUGGGGUGAUGGCCUACCAAGGCGGUGACGGGUAGCCGGCCUGAGAGGGGGGACGGCCCAACUGGGACUGGAACACGGCCCAAGACUCUACGGGGGGGAGGAGUGGGGAAUUAUUGAAAAUGGGGGAAAGCCUGAGGCAGCGCCGCCGGGGGGGGGAAGGAGGCCUUCGGGUGGUGAACCUUUUUGGCGAGGGAAGGAGGCCGGCCCGGUUUGUGGGUGGUUUGACGGUAGUGGAAAAAGAAGCGCCGGCUAACUACUG
rnacentral:rRNA from 1 species